ACGAACGCUGGCGGCGUGCUUAACACAUGCAAGUCGCACGGAAAGGCCCUGCUUUUGUGGGGUGCUCGCGUGGCGAACGGGUGAGUAACACGUGAGUAACCUGCCCUUGACUUUUGGAUAACUUCAGGAAACUGGGGCUAAUACCGGAUAGGAGCUCCUGCUGCAUGGUGGGGGUUGGAAAGUUUCGGCGGUUGGGGAUGGACUCGCGGCUUAUCAGCUUGUUGGUGGGGUAGUGGCUUACCAAGGCUUUGACGGGUAGCCGGCCUGCGAGGGUGACCGGCGACAUUGGGACUGAGAUACGGCCCAGACGCCUACGGGAGGCAGCAGUGGGGAAUAUUGCACAAUGGGCGGAAGCCUGAUGCAGCAACGCCGCGUGCGGGAUGACGGCCUUCGGGUUGUAAACCGCUUUCGCCUGUGACGAAGCGUGAGUGACGGUAAUGGGUAAAGAAGCACCGGCUAACUACGUG
rnacentral:rRNA from 1 species